rnacentral:miRNA from 1 species
CAGAAUGCCCAGUUAAAUUUGAAUUUCAGAUAAAUGAAGACUUUUUUAGUUUAAGUAUGUGUCAUACAAUAUUCGGGGCAUACUUAUGCUAAAAGAUUAUUCAUAAUGCUUAUUUAAAACCAAAGUUAGCUGGGCAUCCUGGA